GCUUAACACAUGCAAGUCAAGCGAGAAUCGUUUUGCUGAAGGCUUCGGUCUGACGCAGAAUGAGGAAAGCGGCGAACGGGUGAGUAACGCGUGGGCAACCUGGCCUUAAGAAAAGGAUAGCCCCCGGAAACGGGGAGUAAUACUUUAUGAGAAUGAAAGAGGGCAUCCUACUUUCAUUCAAAGCGCAAGCGCUUAAGGAUGGGCCUGCGUAUCAUUAGCUAGUUGGUGAGAUAACAGCCCACCAAGGCAACGAUGAUUAGCCGGUCUGAGAGGGCGAACGGCCACAUUGGAACUGAGAGACGGUCCAAACUCCUACGGGAGGCAGCAGUGGGGAAUAUUGCGCAAUGGAGAAGAACUCUGACGCAGCAAUAUCGCGUGAGCGAAGAAGGUCUUCGGAUCGUAAAGCUCUGUUAUCAGGGAAGAAGAAAAUGACGGUACCUGAUGAGCAAGUCCCGGCUAACUACGUGCCAGCCGCCGCGGUAA
rnacentral:rRNA from 1 species